rnacentral:rRNA from 1 species
GAUGAACGCUAGCGGGAGGCUUAACACAUGCAAGUCGAGGGGCAGCACGAGAUAGCAAUAUUUUGGUGGCGACCGGCGCACGGGUGAGUAACGCGUAUGCAACCUACCUUGUACAGGGGGAUAACUCGGAGAAAUCCGGACUAAUACCCCAUAAUGAUAUUGAGAGACAUCUUUUGAUAUUUAAAGUUCCGACGGUACAGGAUGGGCAUGCGUAACAUUAGCUAGUUGGUAAGGUAACGGCUUACCAAGGCUACGAUGUUUAGGGGACCUGAGAGGGUGAUCCCCCACACUGGUACUGAGACACGGACCAGACUCCUACGGGAGGCAGCAGUGAGGAAUAUUGGUCAAUGGGCGCAAGCCUGAACCAGCCAUCCCGCGUGCAGGAAGACGGCGCUAUGCGUUGUAAACUGCUUUUCCAGGGGGGAGAAUGAUUUUGAUGUAUCGAGAUUUGACGGUACCCUGGGAAUAAGCAUCGGCUAACUCCGUG